UUUAUGACCAUGGAGUAUGGUAAUUAACUGACACGUACUGAAACACUUUUUAAGAAAUAGCCUAUUCAAAAGUCAGGCAUUGUUUUUGUUGUUUCUAAUUUUUAUCACACUGCGGGAUCACUCAGAAGUGAUGCUGUCAAAGCGGCAGUCAAGGACUGAAGUAAUUGGAACUGCUGGGUGAAAAGACAAGCUCCGUACAGGAAUUUCCUGCCACUCCGGUGACUGUGACAGAAAAGCUCUGAAAUGCCGAUAGAGAUUUAGAAUGAUGAAGAGCUGCUGCAGUUACUGAGAAAUCUUGGAAGUUUGAUUUUGUUUUAUUUGUUGAAAUCUUACCAAAGAAGGCUUGAAGCCUGAGACUUGUAAAAUGUGACUCCAGGAUGACCUCUGACAGUUGGGGUUGCUGUGGAUGUUAUGCUUCUACUUAUCUGUGAAUAUUGUCAGCUCCUUUGUUUCAUUUCCGAAAACAAAAGCUCAACGUUUUUCCCACUGUUUGUCAUUAUUUAGAAACUAUGAGGUUAAUUCCUUUAUUCCGAGACCUCCUAAUUUUCUUGAUAUUAUUUGUUGGGGCUGUAUUUUGUACCAUUCUUGAUUAUUAUCCCUGAAUUUCACUCCUUAUCCUUCAGUCCUAAACAAGCCUACAUCCAUGUAACAAACUUCAAAUUAAAUUAUUGCAGUGUUGAACUUAAUUACCCUGCUGCUCAGUGGGAUCUGGAACACCAUGAUAGGCACACAGCCUCCUGCUGCCUUGAAACCACCAAAUAAAAAGGCUUGUGAGGGUAGGACCCACAGAACCAGGGAAAUGGCACAAAAUAAAAAAUGUCAAUCAGGAUAUCUAUCAGCACUUCCAGGACCAUGGUUGUGACCUACAGGAAGGUGUGUCAGGUCCCUUAUAGGUAACUCCUUGGACACCCACAGCACUACAGCAAUGUCUUGGAAGAUCUCAAUUCUGACCUGCAAACAUUAGGUGCCUGCAAGUUAUUUGAAGCGAAUGGGCCUUCACAUAAUUUCAUUCUGACAGGUUACCUGGACAUAAAUAAUGCCAUGAUCAGUAUAGACUUUCUACUUUUGGCCUGCUGGAGCUGCUUUUUGGAGAGAAAGAGUCAUGAGACGUCCUGAUACUCUUAGUAAGGUAUCUGUGCUGGAGUGGGAAUGCAGGUACAUGAGAGAAUUCUGCCAUUCUACCUAAACAUUUCCUUUGGCUGCAAGGCUUUAUCUUCAGUAAGACUCCUGCUCCCAUCUCCUAAUGCCACAGGGCAGGAUGGAACCUGGUGACCUGUUGUCCAUUUAUUUGAACAACACUCUCAGAUAGUCCUGAGUGGAGUCCAGGAGUUGGACUUGAUAACACCUGUGGGCCCCCUCCAACUCAGGAGAUUCUACGACUAUUUUUUUGUUUUCCUCCUCUAUGGCUACAGAGGAACUGGUGUGCAGCAGGCCAAGUCUGCAGUCAGCAGUGCUAUCAUUGCCCCUUUGUGGAAAUACACCAACAGCCUGCCUGAAGAGCUGCCUGCUCUGCUUCUGCACUUCCAGAUCUCAUGACCAGAAGACCAUACAGAGAGAAGAGGCUUAGAACAAUCUCGUGACUUUGCACAAAGCAGCUUGAACUUUGUGAAGAAUUUGCAGCCCCGUUCGGAACCCCAACUUUACCUUUUGUUUCUUAACCAUUAAGUUUGGUGGUGAACUUGCUAAGCUUAAAAAAUGCAUGUUAGAAAGGAGAAAUUCUGCACAAUGAAAAAGAAACUCAUCACUUCUUUUUACCAGCUCCUAUUCAUCAAAAGAUAUUACCAGGUAUGGUUAAGUUAUAGCAAAUUAAUUUGCAAAAGUAUUUGCAAAGUAAAAUAUAGUUUCCUUCUGUACAGCUAUAUUAUACUUAACUGCACAUAAAAUAAUCUACGGUAGUAGUAAUCUGAUGCAACUUCUAUGAGAAUGAUAAAGCUGUUUUUUUGUUAAUUUUUUUAACGUUCUUCCUGAAAUAGAUUUAGAAAGAGUCAAAGAUUUAUUUUCUAAUCACGUCUGUCAUGCUACAAUGUGCUGUGUGCGUUCACAUCUCAGGAGUAAACUGGUCUGUCAUUUUUCUUCAAGGCAACCAACAAAGAUUAUAAUUUUAGCAACUUACUUGCCUUCUAACUGUUGCCCUAACUACCUGAUCACUACCAUCUUUCUCAUAAAACAGCUGUAAUGAUCAGAAUU
ensembl:lncRNA